rnacentral:tRNA from 1 species
CAAUGAAGGAAGGUCCUUCCUCUCCUAACUU